GCGCCUGUAGCUCAGUGGAUAGAGUAGCGGUUUCCGAAACCGUUGGUCAUGGGUUCAACUCCCAUCAGGCGUACUA
rnacentral:tRNA from 1 species